CGGGGAUAUAUUGGAACGAGGAUUCGUCUGAAGGAAAAUGUAUCUUAGUGGCGGACGGGUGAGUAACGCGUGGGCAACCUACCGUAUACAGGGGGAUAACACUUAGAAAUAGGUGCUAAUACCGCAUAAGCGCACAGCAGUGCAUACUGGAGUGUGAAAAGCCGAGACGGUAUACGAUGGGCCCGCGUCUGAUUAGCCAGUUGGCAGGGUAACGGCCUACCAAAGCGACGAUCAGUAGCCGGCCUGAGAGGGCGGACGGCCACAUUGGGACUGAGACACGGCCCAGACUCCUACGGGAGGCAGCAGUGGGGGAUAUUGCACAAUGGGGGGAACCCUGAUGCAGCGACGCCGCGUGAGUGAAGAAGUAAUUCGUUAUGUAAAGCUCUAUCAGCAGGGAAGAAUAAAUGACGGUACCUGAGUAAGAAGCCCCGGCUAACUACGUGCCAGCAGCCGCGGUAAUACGUAGGGGGCAAGCGUUAUCCGGAUUUACUGGGUGUAAAGGGAGCGUAGACGGCGAUGCAAGCCAGAUGUGAAAGCCCGCGGCUCAACUGCGGUAGUGCAUUUGGAACUGUAUGGCUGGAGUGCAGGAGAGGCAGGCGGAAUUCCUAGUGUAGCGGUGAAAUGCGUAGAUUUUAGGAGGAACACCAGUGGCGAAGGCGGCCUGCUGGACUGUAACUGUCGUUGUGGCUCGAAAGCGUGGG
rnacentral:rRNA from 1 species